rnacentral:tRNA from 3 species
GGGGAUAUGGCGGAAUGGUAGACGCUGAGGACUUAAAAUCCUUUGGUCAUUGCGACCGUGUGGGUUCAAGUCCCACUAUCCCCACCA